UACGUAGGUGGCAAGCGUUGUCCGGAAUUAUUGGGCGUAAAGCGCGCGCAGGCGGCCUUUUAAGUCUGAUGUGAAAGCCCACGGCUCAACCGUGGAAGGUCAUUGGAAACUGAAAGGCUUGAGUACAGAAGAGGAAAGCGGAAUUCCACGUGUAGCGGUGAAAUGCGUAGAGAUGUGGAGGAACACCAGUGGCGAAGGCGGGUUGCUGGGCCGACACUGACGCUGAGGCGCGAAAGCCAGGGGAGCGAACGGG
rnacentral:rRNA from 1 species